rnacentral:rRNA from 1 species
CAGCCGCCGCGGUAAUACGUAGGGUGCGAGCGUUAAUCGGAUUUACUGGGCGUAAAGCGUGCGCAGGCGGCCCGUUAAGACAGGUGUGAAAUCCCUGGGCUCAACCUAGGAAUUGCGCUUGUGACUGGCGGGCUCGAGUACGGGAGAGGGGGGUGGAAUUCCUGGUGUAGCAGUGAAAUGCGUAGAGAUCAGGAGGAACACCGAUGGCGAAGGCAGCCCCCUGGGCCUGUACUGACGCUCAUGCACGAAAGCGUGGGGAGCAAACAGGAUUAGAUACCCUGGUAGUCAACGCCCUAAACGAUGGGUACUAGCCGUUUGGUGCGCGAUAGCGCUGAGUGGCGAAGCUAACGCGUGAAGUACCCCGCCUGGGGAGUACGGCCGCAAGGUUGAAACUUAAAGGAAUUGGCGGG